UAUUACUCUCUCUCUCUCUCUCUCUCUCUCUCUCUCUCUCUCUCUCUCUCUCUCAUGUGUUGUUGCUUGCAGUGAAAGAUGGCUUGGACAGUGUGCUGGUGAUUGAGUCAGGUAAGACAUCUGAGAUCAGUGAACAGGCCAGUCAGAUGUUGCUUGACCUCAACAUGCAUGA